rnacentral:rRNA from 1 species
GCGCUGAAAGCAUCUAAGCGCCAAGCCUAUCCCAAGAUGAGUUCUCCCUGAAGGGUCGUGGUAGACCACCACGUUGAUAGGCUCCGGGUGUAAGCACAGUAAUGUGUUCAGCUCAGGAGUACUAAUAACCCGUUCGGCUUGAUCUUUUA